GGGUCUUGGGAUAUUUGGGGUUAAGCGUCCUUGGGUUUGAAUAGUACUGGGCUGGGUGACCUCCCGGGAAGUCCAAAACUCAGGAGCUU
rfam:Selaginella moellendorffii unplaced genomic scaffold SELMOscaffold_61, whole genome shotgun sequence.